UACGAAGGGAGCUAGCGUUGUUCGGAAUCACUGGGCGUAAAGCGCGCGUAGGCGGCUUUGCAAGUCAGGGGUGAAAUCCCACAGCUUAACUGUGGAACUGCCUUUGAAACUGCAAGGCUAGAAUGUGAGAAGGGAUGGCGGAAUUCCUAAUGUAGAGGUGAAAUUCGUAGAUAUUAGGAGGAACACCUGUGGCGAAAGCGGCCAUCUGGAUCACAAUUGACGCUGAAGUGCGAAAGCGUGGGUAGCAAACAGG
rnacentral:rRNA from 1 species